AGAGUUUGAUCCUGGCUCAGGAUGAACGCUAGCGGCAGGCUUAACACAUGCAAGUCGAGGGGUAACAGGGGCGCUUGCGUCCGCUGACGACCGGCGCACGGGUGCGUAACGCGUAUGCAAUCUACCUUUUACAGGGGGAUAGCCCAGAGAAAUUUGGAUUAAUACCUCAUAGCAUAUGGUCUUGGCAUCAAGACCAUAUUAAAGAUUUAUCGGUAAAAGAUGAGCAUGCGUUCUAUUAGCUGGAUGGUAAGGUAACGGCUUACCAUGGCGACGAUAGAUAGGGGCCCUGAGAGGGGGAUCCCCCACACUGGUACUGAGACACGGACCAGACUCCUACGGGAGGCAGCAGUGAGGAAUAUUGGACAAUGGGCGGGAGCCUGAUCCAGCCAUGCCGCGUGCAGGAAGACUGCCCUAUGGGUUGUAAACUGCUUUUGUACAGGAAGAAACACUCCCUCGUGAGGGAGCUUGACGGUACUGUAAGAAUAAGGAUCGGCUAACUCCGUGCCAGCAGCCGCGGUAAUACGGAGGAUCCAAGCGUUAUCCGGAAUCAUUGGGUUUAAAGGGUCCGUAGGUGGAUGAUUAAGUCAGAGGUGAAAUCCUGCAGCUCAACUGUAGAAUUGCCUUUGAUACUGGUUGUCUUGAAUUAUUGUGAAGUAGUUAGAAUAUGUGGUGUAGCGGUGAAAUGCAUAGAUAUCACAUAGAAUACCGAUUGCGAAGGCAGAUUACUAACAAUACAUUGACACUGAUGGACGAAAGCGUGGGGAGCGAACAGGAUUAGAUACCCUGGUAGUCCACGCCGUAAACGAUGGAUACUAGCUGUUCGGAUUUAUCUGAGUGGCUAAGCGAAAGUGAUAAGUAUCCCACCUGGGGAGUACGUUCGCAAGAAUGAAACUCAAA
rnacentral:rRNA from 1 species